UAAGGUAUAGCUCAGUGGUAAAGUGCACGCUUAGUAUGCCCGAGGUCCUGGGUUCAACCCCCAGUACCUCCA
rnacentral:tRNA from 1 species